rnacentral:snRNA from 1 species
UUACCUUGACUUCUCUUCAGUUGUCGAAUAAAUCUUUCGCCUUUUACCAAAGAUUUCCGUGGAGAGGAGUAAUUAAUGGGUCUAUAAAAAUUUUUGUCAAAUGCUCAACUUUCCUUGCGAG